rnacentral:rRNA from 1 species
GCUUGCACAGCCUAGCCAAGGCGGACGGGUGAGUAACGCGUAAGGAACUUGCCCUGCAGUCAGGGAUAACAGACGGAAACGACUGAUAAGACCUGGUAAAGUCAGGCGGACUCAUGUCCAGCCUGAUGAAAAGAGAUGCUGCAGGAGAGCCUUGCGUCCUAUUAGCUAGUUGGUGGGGUAACGGCCCACCAAGGCGAUGAUAGGUAGCCGGCCUGAGAGGGUGGACGGCCACAAGGGGACUGAGAUACGGCCCUUACUCCUACGGGAGGCAGCAGUGGGGAAUAUUGGACAAUGGGGGCAACCCUGAUCCAGCAAUUCUGUGUGCACGAUGAAGGUUUUCGGAUUGUAAAGUGCUUUCAGCAGGGAAGAAAAAAAUGACGGUACCUGCAGAAGAAGCGACGGCUAAAUACGUGCCAGCAGCCGCGGUAAUACGUAUGUCGCAAGCGUUAUCCGGAAUUAUUGGGCAUAAAGGGCAUCUAGGCGGCCAGAUAAGUCUGGGGUGAAAACUUGCGGCUCAACCGCAAGCCUGCCCUGGAAACUAUGUGGCUAGAGUACUGGAGAGGUGGACGGAACUGCACGAGUAGAGGUGAAAUUCGUAGAUAUGUGCAGGAAUGCCGAUGAUGAAGAUAGUUCACUGGACGGUAACUGACGCUGAAGUGCGAAAGCUAGGGGAGCAAACAGGAUUAGAUACCCUGGUAGUCCUAGCUGUAAACGAUGAUUACUGGGUGUGGGCAUGAAGAGUGUCCGUGCCGAAGCUAAUGCGAUAAGUAAUCCGCCUGGGGAGUACGGCCGCAAGGCUGAAACUCAAAGGAAUUGACGGGGACCCGCACAAGCGGUGGAGAUCGGAAGAGCG